AUUGAACGCUGGCGGCAGGCUUAACACAUGCAAGUCGAGCGAGCGGCGGACGGGUGAGUAAUGUCUGGGAAACUGCCUGAUGGAGGGGGAUAACUACUGGAAACGGUAGCUAAUACCGCAUACCAUCAGAUGUGCCCAGAUGGGAUUAGCUAGUAGGUGGGGUAAAGGCUCACCUAGGCGACGAUCCCUAGCUGGUCUGAGAGGAUGACCAGCCACACUGAGACUGUGACACGGUCCAGACUCCUACGUGAGGCAGCAGUGGGGAAUAUUGCACAAUGGGCGAAAGCCUGAUGCAGCCAGGCCGAGUGUAUGACGAAGGCCUUCGGGUUGUAAAGCACUUUCAGCGAGGAGGCGUUAAUCGCAGAAGAAGCACCGGCUAACUCCGUGCCAGCAGCCGCGGUAAUAC
rnacentral:rRNA from 1 species